rnacentral:rRNA from 1 species
GUCUUCAGCCAUACCACCCUGAGGGCACCCAAUCUUGUCUGAGCUCAGAAGCUAAGCAGAGUUGGGCCUUGUUAGCUCUUGGAUGGGAGACUGCCUGGGAAUACUGGGUGCCGUAGGCU